rnacentral:lncRNA from 1 species
CUCGGCAGAGGGAGGCCGGGGAGGCCCUGGGGUACCGAGGAACGCCCUGCAUCCUUCCUAAAGUUUUUCAGCUCCCUCCCCCAACCACCAACCUGCUUCCCUCCCCACUCCCUUCGUCCCCUGGGAAUCGCAGUCUCCGCACUCCGGCUCUCUCAGCGGAAUCAAUAACCAAAGUGUUCCAGGAAGGCGACCCCGGCGAGACCGAGCAGAAAACAGGAGGGAAGAAAAUCUCUUACGCCAACAGUUCGACAAACUGCGGAACUGUGCUAAGAAAGUUUUGCUGGGCGCUCUCCUUCCCCGCGGAAGAUUUCCGUCGCCUCUGCUGCGGGACAGUUGCGGAGUGUCAUGCCAAGACACCACGUACAGCCCACACUUCUGAAAUGUAUUAAGGCAGAGCUGGAGGAGGGACAGAGCUGCCCCGAAAGAAUGCCUCCUAAGGCGGCUGUUCUGCCAGCAUGCUCCAGAAGACAGCGUCACCUGGAGCCUUCGCUCCGCCUUGUUUCACUGGAAGAAGAACUAGGUGUGCCAGCAUGCUCCAGAAGACAGCGUCACCUGGAGCCUUCGCUCCGCCUUGUUUCACUGGAAGAAGAACUAGGUGCGCGAUUCAGUGUGAAGAUGUGGAAAAUGGGGCAGCAUCAGGGAGGCUGGCUGUGAGAGGACUCCCAAGAUUUUCCUUGAAGACUCUCCCGCGUCUCUGAAACCACACAUUCUCAGUCUGAUUGGCUCUGGUGAGAGGUUCUGG